rnacentral:rRNA from 1 species
UCCUUUGACGUUAGCGGCGGACGGGUGAGAUAACACGUGGGAUAACCUACCUAUAAGACUGGGAUAACUUCGGGAAACCGGAGCUAAUACCGGAUAACAUUUGGAACCGCAUGGUUCUAAAGUGAAAGAUGGUUUUGCUAUCACUUAUAGAUGGACCCGCGCCGUAUUAGCUAGUUGGUAAGGUAACGGCUUACCAAGGCGACGAUACGUAGCCGACCUGAGAGGGUGAUCGGCCACACUGGAACUGAGACACGGUCCAGACUCCUACGGGAGGCAGCAGUAGGGAAUCUUCCGCAAUGGGCGAAAGCCUGACGGAGCAACGCCGCGUGAGUGAUGAAGGGUUUCGGCUCGUAAAACUCUGUUAUUAGGGAAGAACAAACGUGUAAGUAACUGUGCACGUCUUGACGGUACCUAAUCAGAAAGCCACGGCUAACUACGUGCCAGCAGCCGCGGUAAUACGUAGGUGGCAAGCGUUAUCCGGAAUUAUUGGGCGUAAAGCGCGCGUAGGCGGUUUCUUAAGUCUGAUGUGAAAGCCCACGGCUCAACCGUGGAGGGUCAUUGGAAACUGGGAAACUUGAGUGCAGAAGAGGAAAGUGGAAUUCCAUGUGUAGCGGUGAAAUGCGCAGAGAUAUGGAGGAACACCAGUGACGAAAGGCGACUUUCUGGUCUGUAACUGACGCUGAUGUGCGAAAGCGUGGGG